UGAGGAAUAUUGGGCAAUGCCCGCAAGGGUGACCCAGCAACGCCGCGUGGAGGAUGAAUGUCGUAAGAUUGUAAACUCCUGUUAGAGGGGAAGAAUAGUACCGGUUGGACCGGUAUAUGACUGUACCCUCAGAGAAAGCCCCGGCUAACUACGUGCCAGCAGCCGCGGUAAUACGUAGGGGGCAAGCGUUGUCCGGAUUUACUGGGUGUAAAGGGCGCGCAGGCGGGAUAAAAAGUCAGUGGUGAAAUCCUACAGCUUAACUGUAGAACUGCCUUUUAUACUUUGAUUCUUGAGUUCGGGAGAGAGAGACGGAAUUCCAGGUGUAGUGGUGAAAUACGUAGAUAUCUGGAAGAACACCAGUUGCGAAGGCGGUCUCUUGGUCCGACACUGACGCUGAGGCGCGAAAGCGUGGGGAGCAAACA
rnacentral:rRNA from 1 species